UACGUAGGGGGCGAGCGUUGUCCGGAAUUACUGGGCGUAAAGGGCGCGCAGGCGGUCGCUCAAGUCGCGUGUGAAAGCCCCCGACUCAACUGGGGAGGGUCACGCGAUACUGAUCGACUGGAAGGCAGGAGAGGGUAGUGGAAUUCCCGGUGUAGUGGUGAAAUGCGUAGAUAUCGGGAGGAACACCAGUGGCGAAGGCGACUACCUGGCCUGUUCUUGACGCUGAGGCGCGAAAGCUAGGGGAGCAAACGGG
rnacentral:rRNA from 1 species